rnacentral:rRNA from 1 species
CCUACGGGGGGCAGCAGUGGGGAAUAUUGCGCAAUGGACGAAAGUCUGACGCAGCGACGCCGCGUGAGGGAUGAAGGUUUUCGGAUCGUACACCUCUGUCAGCAGGGAGGAAAGCGCAUGGCGCCAAUCAGCCAUGCGUUGACGGUACCUCCAGAGGAAGCGCCGGCUAACUCCGUGCCAGCAGCCGCGGUAAUACGGAGGGCGCAAGCGUUAAUCGGAAUUACUGGGCGUAAAGCGCGCGUAGGCUGUUGUGUAAGUUGGGGGUGAAAUCCCACGGCUCAACCGGGGAACAGCACUUGAAACUGGGAGGCUUGAGUCCGGGAGAGGGGGGCAGAAUUCCAGGUGUAGGAGUGAAAUCCGUAGAUAUCUGGAGGAAUAUCAGUGGCGAAGGCGGCCACCUGGACCGGGAUUGACGCUGAGGCGUGAAAGCGUGGGGAGCAAACAGGAUUAGAUACCCGGGUAGUC